ensembl:lncRNA
GAGAUGUCAUUUCUUUAAUAUGGCAUACAUUUCUUAUUUGUUUUAAAAGUAGGCUUAUAGUCACAUAAGUUACAGAUAGAAAUUCACAUAUAGUUCUAGGUCUAUUUCAUAUAUUGACUACUGAAUUUCAUGGAAAGAGAAAAUAUUCACAAUCAUUGGAUAAUGUACCCUUCAAUAGACCUAGCCUAUAAGAAGAACCAUAUGUGGGCUUAAUUAGGCCACAACUAUUACUAGGACAGUUUGCCUGUUGACACGGUCCAUGUUGCCUACACAAAAUGUCUUCUCUAAAACAAAACACAUAUAUGCCUACUUCUCAAGUCUUGUCAAAUAUUAUUUAUUGACAAGCUUAAAUUGUUUUUAAGCUGUUCACCUCAGUCGAAAUGUUUGAAAAUCGACAGUAGCUUGCGGUUAGACAGGUAGAUUUGAGGUAAGUAGCCUAUGUAUAAAUCAUGGAGUUGGGUUACCCCUUAUGUGAAUACAUUUAUAGGCCUAUUUUUUGUUAACAUUUACAAAACGCAUGCCCAAUUGUAGUUCAUAUAUUUUACUUGUACCUCUAUAUUUACCUAAAGAUACGCUUUGGCGCCUUCUGGUCGUCUCCAAACUCGAGCGCAUGAACGUGAUGCAAAUCACGGGCAGCUGACUGGGCUGUAGACAUUUCUGGAUCAAAACGCAAAUGUUUAUCGUUAGGUGAGAAGGAAAAAAUGCUGCAUGUCAUGCCUAUGCAACUUUGUUUAAAAUUUCCAUAAUACACCAACAAGGGAUUUUUUUUCAAACAGAGUUGGUGAAUGUGUAGCACUACAGAACUAAACCUACUUUACAUGUUGGUCCAGUCACGCCAGCUGCCUGUGCUUUGCCCGGAAGUAAUGAUGCCCAUGCGCGCGAGUUUGGAGACGACAAACAGCGGCAAAAACUUCAGACCCUGCAUUGAUGCCCUCUUGGGAGCUAACGCCAACCAGCAGCCAUUUUGUUUCUCCCUGCGGGACAUUGGCCCAGGGAUCACACCACUGCUGUGGCAGACACUGUCUGGGGCCAACCGUCAAGCAUCUGACACUCAGCGCAGGAGAUAAAGUAACGAGGGAUGUGAUGUUGAUUUGACACCCGGUGACGGACAGAAGGGAGCGAGAAAAAUCAGGUGCUGUUUAUUUUUCUUUCUUUUUUCCUGUCAGGCAGACAGACCAACCGGAGCCUCCUCUUCUCAUUCCCUUCAGGGCACAGGGCGUGGCAGACAAGGCGUUUCUUCAUCGUAAACAUUCGCACGUGGACUUGUUUCUCAGUAGCAGGUUAGCGAACUAAUGUCCUUUUUGCCGCUUGAGGCGACGCUGUGUAAAUUAGUCUUCACUCAACUCAACACUCUUGGCUGCUGUGUCUAUGUGUCUGCGGAUGACAAGCAGAGACCGACAGUAGCGAUGCUGGUGCAAUAGAAACUGAGAGAAAGGGUGACUAUGGUGUAAUUGCAUCACCAUGUAGUCACUGCAGAUGUAGAGUUCAUGCUGUGCUCCCUUUUGUGGCAGAUAGAACAACCGAUACUCAUUUGUAUGUCACUCAACCGAUGUUUGUUUUUUGGAAAUGGCAGCAACCAAAGAAUUUCUGUUUUGUGUGGUGUGUGUCACAUGUAAAACUUUCUGAGUUUGUAGUGGUUGACUAUAACUGCAGUAAUACCUGUGGUGCUUAUUUAUAGGUUAGGCCCAUUUGGGUGGCAACAACAUGCCUAAUCAGUAUCCUUGUCUCACAUAGGAACCUGUGUGAACCUUAAACAGUUGUGGUAAAUACUGUCUAACUACCGUAUUGUCAAUCGGUAGCUGAUCAGUGAGGAGUAAUAGCUUUGCUCUUGAUAACGUAAGCUUUACAGAGGGAUAAGCUUUCUCCACCAUAUCUGUUGUGUCAACAAUGCAGCACGCAGAUAAAGAGGUGGGUUUAAUACAAUGUAAACUGACCUAUCUGACCGCAGACGCCAUAUUCCAGUACAGAUUACCGCUUAAUGAUGGUUUGCGUUGUUUAGCUGAUGCAGUAGUAGACUGAUGUGCUCUGAAUGGGAAGAUGUAUUUGGUAUGACAGUGCAGCGGUUGGACCAAUUGAUUAUUGUAAUGAGGUUGAGAUUGAGGGCAUUUUAAAUUCAGCAUAUUCAGCCUUGACAUGAUUGGUAGUUAGUUGGUCAUUCCACACUACCCACAAUGUCUUGAGCACUUUUGUGCCAUCUCCACUGUACCCUAGUUGACCCAGAUUCCACUGACCCAUAUUCCCUACCUGACCAAUCUGCUCAGUCAGAGCUGUGCCCUCACAUGCACUAUUCCACCUCAGCCAUUUCAGAGGAAUCAUUUGGUUUCACAACCUCCACCUCUCUUGGCUGCUUGCCCUGUUUUUUUUAUCGGCGAAGGCCUCGUUUUCAGGUUGGAGCUGAGAGGGUUUGAAAGGCUGCAGUUAGUGCCCAGUGAUAACGUUAUGGUCUCCAUGGCAACGGGCCAUGACGGCAUUGGGUGGCCUCGGUGAGAGGUUGAGGGUCUAGGGAGAGGGGGGAGGUUCUGUAACAAGGUAUGAGCAAUAGCCUUUUGGCUCUCGCAUGGGCUUUUGCCGAGUGCCCGGCUUUGUAUCUACGACACAGAGGCCUUGGGCCUUGUCAGGAUCCGAAAAGUCUUGAUGAGGGGCAGUAAAAUAGAGUUAGGGAGAGAGGGGGCACUAACUGAUAUGGCCCAGAUAUCAUAUCUGCGUUACGAGGGGGCAGAAGAGGCCUGAGGGAGAUAAAAAGCUGCCUAAACUGCUUGUGUCUCCAAAACAGCCUGAUAAGAAAGGAGUGGCAUAUCCCCACCAAGCCAUAAACACUCACACACUGAUACAGACCCUGAAAGAGGCCUUUUAUGUCUUUCUCUGUGUGUGGGACAACUACAAGACCAUCUGCAACAGAAUCAAAGCGACAUUGUUUAAAUCGGAGUGAAAAGCAGUGCCACUUUGAAAACUGAAAAAUGUUAAAAUUAAUUCAAAAGUGAAAAUUAACCAAUUAUGUAGGCUAAUAAUUAAGUAAUCAACAUUCCGUAAUUAUAUUAGCAAUUAAGGAUUUUUCAUUUGAUGGUAUCCUUCUGCGGAUCAUUCGUUUUAGUAUUGGAGAGUUUUUUUUUUUGUGACAAGUUUUCUAAGGUAGAGUAGUAGAUAGAAGUCAGCAGCCAGGGCUGUGAUCUCACUGACCCAUUGUUUUCUAUUAGACUCCAGUUCCUCUCUGCUUCCCUCUGUGCUGGAUGAGCCAGAUUUAGAUCACAGCAUCUUGGAGUGUCAUGUUGUAGCCACUAGGGGGCGAGCUUCACUGUCUGUGACCUGGGUCCUGUCUGUGAGCCGACUAAUGGGAGGGUAACGGGCUUGAGAGAGGCAGAGGGCUGGAGAGAUUUAAAAGGAACGUAGCCUAGCAGUAAUACAGCUAACCACCACUGGGACCGUUGUGUCACUACUAGACAAUAAACAUCCUGACACUUUACACAGGAUGGGUUUGUUAUUUGACAACGAUAAUUAUAAAAUCUGUUUUGGCCUUUUCACACUGAUGUUGAGGCCUCAUAAAGAGAAACAAUGAACUGUCUUACAAUAUUUUGACAACUCUCUUUUUUACACCUAACAUUGUACAAUCAAAAAAUACAUCUUUGCAGGGGUGUGGGAUGGGGGUAUAGGUAUUUCUUGUGACUGAUCCUUGCUGUGUGUGUGUGUGUGUGUGUGUGUGUGUGUGUGUGUGUGUGUGUACUUUAUACAUAUUUCUCCCGGUCCAUGUAUCUGUCAAGCACAGGAGGCUAGUGAGGUGAGAACGGCUGAUAAUAAUGGAUGGAGCAAAUGGAAUGGCAUCGAACACCUCAACUAUAUGUUUGAUGUAUUUGUUACCAUUUCACUCAUUCCUCUCCAGUUAUUACCACGAGCCUGUCCUCCUCAAUUAAGGUGCCACCAACCUCCUGUGCUGUCUAGUGCAUAUUUGUUUCACACAGUAAUCCGUUCUACCACUAAAAAUAAUAUUGAUUUGUUUUACAGUCUAUUCAGCACAUCCGGUAACCAAUUUGGUUAGAACAGCGUCGUUUGGUAUGAUCUUACUGUCUAGUCUGUGGACUAUUACCAUAGGACAGUGGUUCCCAAACUUUUUAUAGUCCCGUACCCCUUCAAACAUUCAACCUCCACCUGCGUACCCCCUCUAGCACCAGGAUCAGCGCACUCUCAAAUGUUGUUUUUUGCCAUCAUUGUAAGCCUGCCACACACACUAUACGAUACAUUUAUUAAACAUAAGAAUGAGUGUGAGUUUUUGUCACAAUCCGGCUCGUGGGAAGUGACAAAAAUCUCUUAUACGUCCAGGGCACAAAUAAUCAUAAUCAAUCAUUUAGCAUAUAACAUUUUGCAUAUAAAAUAUCUUAAAUAUAAAACUUUAUUUGUUCAUUGAAAAUUGUGAAUAACUCACCACAGGUUAAUGAGAAGGAUGUGCUUGAAAGGAUACACAUAACUCUGCAGUGUUGGGUUGUAUUGGAGAGAGUCUCAGUCAUUUUCCACUCACAGUCUGUGCCUGUAUUACAUUUUCAUGAGUGAGGGCUGAGAAUCCACUCUCACAUAGGUACGUGGUUGCAAAGGGCAUCAGUGUCUUAACAGUGUGAUUUGCCAAGCCAGGAUACUCUGAGCGCAGCCCAAUCCAGAAAUCUGACAGAGGGUUCUGAUGAAAUUAUUUUUUCACAGAACCGCUUGUUGCAAUUUUGAUGAGGCUCUCUUGUUCAGAUAUCGGUAAGUGGACUGGAGGCAGGGCAUGAAAGAGAUAACGAAUCCAGUUUUUGUCAUCUGUUUCGGGAAAGUACCUGCGUAAUUGCGCACCCAACUCACUCAUAUAGCGAAGCACCUCACAUUUGAUAUUGUCCGUAAGCUUGAGAUCAUUUGCACACAAAAAAAUCAUACAAUGAUGGAAAGACCUGUGUGUUGUCCUUGUUAAUGCAGACAGAGAAGAGCUCCAACUUCUUAAGCCUCAAUUUUGUCCCGCACAUUGAAUAUAGUUGCGGAGAGUCCCUGUAAUCCUAGAUUCAGAUCAUUCAGGCGAGAAAAAACAUCACCCAGAUAGGCCAGUCAUGUGAGAAACUCGUCAUCAUUCAAGCGGUCAGACAAGUAAAAAUUAUGGUCAGUAAAGA